AGGGGAUUAGCUCAGUUGGGAGAGCACCUGCUUUGCAAGCAGGGGGUCGUCGGUUCGAUCCCGUCAUCCUCCA
rnacentral:tRNA from 1 species